rnacentral:piRNA from 1 species
UAUAGUUUUUGCUGGUGUUAAUUAUGAAU